AACGAACGCUGGCGGUAUGCCUUACACAUGCAAGUCGAACGAGAAAGCUUCUUCGGAAGUGAUUAGAGUGGCGCACGGGUGAGUAACACGUAGGUGACCUACCUUUCGGGCGGGGGAUAACCAGGAGAAAUUCUGGCUAAUACCGCGUACGUACAAUUAAAGUGAAAGUGAUUGUAGAAAGAAUGCCUCUAUACUAUGCAUUUGCCGAAAGAUGGGCCUGCGAAGCAUUAGUUUGUUGGUGGGGUAAUGGCCUACCAAGACUACGAUGCUUAGCCGGAUUGAGAGAUUGAUCGGCCACACUGGGACUGAGACACGGCCCAG
rnacentral:rRNA from 1 species